rnacentral:rRNA from 1 species
UUUAUUUGAUAGUACCUUACUACUUGGAUACCUGUGGUAAUUCUAGAGCUAAUACAUGCUAAAAACCCCGACUUCGGGAGGGGUGUAUUUAUUAGAUAAAAAACCAAUGCCCUUCGGGGCUCCUUGGUGAUUCACAAUAACUUCUCAGAUCGCAUGGCCUUGCGCCGGCGACGGUUCAUUCAAAUUUCUGCCCUAUCAACUUUCGAUGGUAAGGUAUUGGCUUACCAUGGUUUCUACGGGUAACGGGGAAUUAGGGUUCGAUUCCGGAGAGUUAGCCUGAGAAACGGCUAACACAUCCAAGGAAGGCAGCAGGCGCGCAAAUUACCCAAUCCUGAUACAGGGAGGUAGUGACAAUAAAUACUGAUACAGGGCUCUUUUGGGUCUUGUAAUUGGAAUGAGUACAAUUUAAACCUCUUAACGAGGAACAAUUGGAGGGCAAGUCUGGUGCCAGCAGCCGCGGUAAUUCCAGCUCCAAUAGCGUAUAUUAAAGUUGUUGCAGUUAAAAAGCUCGUAGUUGAACCUUUGGCCUGGCUGGCAGGUCCGCCUCACCGCGUGCACUUGUCCGGCCGGGCCUUUUCUUCUGGAGAACCGCAUGCCCUUCACUGGGUGGUGUUGGGGACCAGGACUUUUACUUUGAAAAAAUUAGAGUGUUCAAAGCAGGCCUUUGCUCGAAUAUUACAGCAUGGAAUAAUGAAAUAGGACGCGCGGUUCUAUUUUUGUUGGUUUCUAGGACCGCCGUAAUGAUUAAUAGGGACAGUCGGGGGCAUCAGUAUUCAAUUGUCAGAGGUGAAAUUCUUGGA